GCCCCACAGCUAGUAUAGUGGAUAUGAUCCUCGGCUUGAAACCGAGUGGGCUCGGGUUCGAAUCCCGAAUAAGGCA
rnacentral:tRNA from 1 species